rnacentral:lncRNA from 1 species
UUUCAGAAACCUCAAACCUUGUGGCAUACACUUCAGAAAUAAUGGGAAUAGGGCAAACCUGAUUGGAGAGCUUGAUUGAAAUUGAGUUGCACCCGUGAGACCCUUCAGGGUUUGGAGGCUGCUCUGAAUUCUCUGUCAGGUUUCUCUUCAGGUUUUGUCCAGGGUUUUGUUCCAAGGAAACCUCAGAGUAUUUUGCUUCUCUUCCUUUUUCUCAAGUGAAGCCUUGGUAUUUAUAGACUAAAUUUCAUGGUUUUGUAGGCUCAAA